rnacentral:piRNA from 1 species
UGUGAAGAUAGACAAUCUGCAUA